GCAUUACCACCGACCAGUCCUCAGCCGGCAACAUGAAGCUGGGUGGCCUCUGCCUCCUGCUCCUCCUCGCCGUCCUUCUCACCCUCAAUGCAGAGCUCCAGGCAGUUGAUGUAGGUAUCUGUGUGACGGAGUGCAAGGUAGACCAGGACUGUGGGGCAGGAAGACGAUGCACCAGCAAUGGAUGUGGCCGGGUCUGCUCCCCAGUCCGGCGAAGAGAGGCCUGCGAGCACCAGUGCAGAGAAGACAGGGACUGUGGGAGUGGACAUCAGUGCGUGAGGAAGGGCUGUGGGCACGUCUGCGCCCCCGUCCAUCAAGUCGAUGUAGGUAUCUGUGUGACGGAGUGCCGUGUAGACCAGGACUGUGGGGAAGGAAGACAAUGCACCAGCAAUGGAUGUGGCCGUGUCUGCUCCCCAGCCCAGCAAAGAGAGGCCUGCGAGCACCAAUGCAGAGAAGACAAGGACUGUGGGAGUGGACAUCAGUGCGUGAGGAAGGGCUGUGGGCACGUCUGCUCCCCCAUCCCUCAAGUAGGUAUCUGUGUGACGGAGUGCAAUGUAGACCAGGACUGUGGGGCAGGAAGACGAUGCACCAGCAAUGGAUGUGGCCGUGUCUGCUCCCCACCCCAGGGAGGAGGACUCUGUGUGGACCGCUGCCGAGGAAACUGGGACUGUGGGGCCGGAGAAGAAUGUAUCAGGAAGGGAUGUGGACGGGUCUGCUCUCCAGCCCAGGAGCCAGGUAAGAGCCCUGCCUAGGUCUCCAACCCCACACAACCCAGGAGGGGACUGUGUGCUUACCUCUGCCUGGACUCCCCUUCCUUAGAGGGUUAAUUCCCAGGGUCUCUGCUUUCAGGCUUGUCCUUCCAGAGAGAAAAGCAUGUCACAGAGCUGUGUGUCCUGACUUUUUGAGCGCAGAAACUUCUUUUAUUUGGUGAUAGAACUAAUGCGUAGUAGAGAAAACUCAGAAAUAGUACUAAUUAAAAAGACAAAUUAUCCAUGAUCUCAUUACCCAGAUAACUAUGUUAACUCAAAAGCUUCCAUAAUUCACACACACAUAAACAUNUUUUUUUUUUUUUUUUUUUUUUUUUUUUUUGGUAAAUCUUGGCACUAUGCUGAGUGCUGGGAGAUAUUAAGGAGAGGUCUAUGUCCUUGAAGAUCUUUGAGGAACAGAGAUAGACAUAAACAAACCAACAAAAAUCUAGGAUAUAUGAUUUUUACAAAUAUGGUAUCAUAGACCACCCCAAUCAAUAAAUACAAUUCUGACACAUGUUUUUAAAAGCGU
rnacentral:lncRNA from 1 species